AGCGGUGGAGUAUGUGGCUAAUUCGAUGCAACGCGAAGAACCUUACCAGGCCUUGACAUGCACUAGACGGACUCUGAAAGGAGUCUUCCCUUCGGGGCUGGUGCACAGGUGCUGCAUGGCUGUCGUCAGCUCGUGUCGUGAGAUGUUGCGUUAAGUCGCGCACGAGCGCACCCCUGUCCUUAGUUGCAUCGGUAAAGCUGGGCACUCUAGGGAGACAAACCUCUCUGAGGGUGGGAAGGUGGGGAUGACUCAGUCAGAUGG
rnacentral:rRNA from 1 species